GAGGGGGCAGGGCAGCUCACUAAUGUCUAAGCCUGAGUCCAAAGGUUCCCAGGAGAGCAGGAAGGACUUGGCACUGUGAGGGCACAGAGCAUGCCAAAGAGGUGUCCUGGCUCGUGGUUCUUCUAUUGUCUGGUGUCAUAAAGAUGAACAGGAACAUUAACAGACUUGGAAUGAAGGCCACAAUGCUGAAGCACAAGGCCAGCAAAGCAUUUUUCUUUGCUAUGACUUUGUCUUCCAAACUAUUUGCUUCCUGUGCCUGUGGAAGUGAAGACAGGUUGAUAUUUUCCUAAAAAGGGGUGAAACAGGACUGCAGCUACAAUGGAGCAAAUGAUCAUAAUGGAGCCCACCAGGAUGCUUGAGAUGCUGAAGCCCAAGGCCAGUCUGGAAUUUAUCUGUGCCUUCCUCUGAUAUCCAUGAAAGUUGGCUUCCCGGGUCUGUGGAGAUGAAGGCAACCUGGUGGGAGUGUUUCAAGGGUGGAGUGAGAUGGGGAGGGGCAACCCAGGGGAGAGGUGAGGAAUGUAAAUCCAGGAAUGCUGGUGUGAGGGAGGUAAGGGCUGGUUCAGUCCCCCAGUGGAAAAAGGAAGAGGAGCAGAGAAGGGGUCCUGGGGAGGAGUAAGGGCAGCUAUAUAAUGAAGAAGGAGGGAGUAAAUUCUCCAGGAGGAGCAUGAAGAGGUCCCUGGGGAGGAACAGGGGUGUGGGAAAGGACAGAGGAGGUAUAUCUGGGAACAAUGUGAGUUGGUGGUAGCUAGAUGGUGCCCACCUUGAGGGAGAACAAGAGACCUGGGAUCGCCAACAGAAUGAAGAAGAAGAAGAAGGCAAUGAUGGAGAGAAACAAAUAAUCCUUUUCUGGGGGAUUCAAGGACGUCAGGAUGACUGGCUGCAUUGGAGUGACUUUGAACUCCAGGUUUGUGGGCUCAGUGACAGUAGCCAUGGACCUUGGCCUGAGGAAGAAACGCUGAACGGGCAGAAUCUGCAGACAGGAAAUAGGUCCCAGAUAGGGAACAUCUGAAUUCCCAGGAAAUGAGGAUCAGCUGAACUAACCCCUCUACCUAGAAAAGCACUGAAAAUGGACACUGUCCUAAGCCAGAACCCACUACACCUGUAUAUUAUUCCUGUAUAAUACCCUUGCUGGUUCUAUGACACAAUUCAAUCUUCCUCUAUCCUCUCAUAAUUCCUCUCUGUACCCCCCCCCAUUACUCCCUCCAUUUCUCCCUUCAGCUGCUUCACUUUCCUCUUCUAAACUCUCUUACCCCACUCCACCCACAUACAUUUCAACUCUCCACUCUUUUCCGAUAACCCAUCACAAACCUACUUAAUGGCACUGGGACUUCCCUUGGCUUAGUUUCUGAGGCUCUCUGGGCAAUUUGCAUCAUGGGGCGUGGCUUCUCUGUUGGCCACCACUUCAUUAUGAUUAGUUGCUCUGGUAUAGGCGUGUCUCAAGUGCUCAGACCCAGCUUCUGAUUGGCUCAGUGUGUAAGGGGCAUUGCUUAGCCCCUCUUCCUUUCUUCCUGCCCUCAAUCGAUUCAAUGAACCCAAUGAACCCUAUGAACCUAAUGACUGGGUUAAGUUACUUGCUCUUUUUGCUGUUGUGCCCAGUUUGAAUUCUUCAUUGGUUCAACAGAACCAAGGGUGUGGGUCUCACUUCUAGAUUGAAUCUAAGUGCAACAGGACAUUUACUGAUAUUCCUACAAGGAGCUAUAGUAUGCUAGGCCCACACUGGACUCUGAGGACCAUGUAGUGACUAAUGCAGCCAAGAUCACAGCUCUUCUGGAAUCCACAGCCCAUGGGGGAGAAGGAGGGGAAAAGUCCAAAUAAAUAAACAAAAUGAUUUAAGGGAAAACCAAGGGCUCUGGGGAAUAACUAAAAUGAGGAAGAGGGGCUCUGGAGAGCCACACAGGGCUGAGGGGUGGGGUUGAGUGGACAGGAAAGGCCUCUCUGAGAAGGAACAUCUGAGCCGAGACCUGAAGUACAAGAGGAGCCAUAAUCAGAGGAUUCAGAAGAAAGACUUCCAGGCAUGGGGAACAGCAAACACAAAGGAUCUGGGGUGGGAGGAUGUUGGUGAGAACAGAAGCAUUAAAGAGGGCAGUGUAGCUGGACUCAGUGAUGGAUCUAGAUGCAUAAACAGCAUAUAUAGCUGCACAGAUUCAAACACACACACACACACACACACACACACACACACACACACACAGUCUACAAGCCAGCAAGCCCUCCUCAGAAUUUUUUCAUUUUGAAUGUUUUCAACAUUCCCUUUCUAUUAACAGCCCUGUGUGGUGCUGGAAGGGAUCCAGAGCAAGUGGGUGAGGUGUUUGUGCUCAUCCCCUUGAAGAGUUAGGCUGAAUGGCUGAAGGAUCUCUCUGCUGGCAGUUCCCUGCCUUGAAAGUUCUUUGGCUGGGUGUUUCUUGGCUUUGCCAGGCCAUCAGAAAAAGAUGUAAAAAUGUAAGAUGAUGAAGGAAGCACUCAUUAUUCCACAUAUAUUCAGCCAAGUGGCCCAUACUGAAAUUUAUCAUCUGUGACCCAUUUGUUCUUUUUAGCCCCCCUGGUCUUUGGAGAUGGAAAGGAGAUGUGCCUUCAUGAUGUCUGCUCUGGGAGACCACUGGGGAUGGGACCAAAGCCAUGGCUGAGAGCUACAACCUUCUACAUUCAGUCCAUGAAGUCCUAGGAUGGAAGAGAUGCAGAGGGUGGGGACUUUAGGUGAGGCAUGGGACAAGAGGGUGGCAAAGGGUCAGAGAGUGGCCAGCCUUGAUAGAGAAAGCUAAGAGAUGGGACCUCUAGGGGAAGAAUCAGACCUGAAAUAGUGAUUUUUCCGAGUGUGGUUCCUUGACCAGCCGUGUCAACAUCACCCAGAAAUCUCUUAAAAAUGCAAAUCCUUGCCCACUCCCACACUUACAGAGUAUAAAAUCCUGGUGGUGCCCAGCAAUCUGUGUUUUGAUAGGCCCUCCAAGUAAUUCUUAUACAAACUAAAGACUGAGAACUCCCAGAUGAGAAGAAUGAAUGAGAAAGAGUGGAAGUGCCCAGGCCCUUCUAGGAGCUUCACUCAGACCUCUGGCCUUUGUGUUUAGGAUGUUCCUUUGUUCUGGAGGUAUGGAAGCUCCCCAGCUGGGUCCUGCAUGGGGUUUUAUAUCCAUAAACAGUGGGGAAAACAUAAUAAAAUAGUUUCACCUAGCCCAAAGAAAGACAUUAAGUUUUCAAAUCAAGUUGAAAGUACUUAGGAAUCACUUAUCGACAUGACACAUAAAUCUAGUAUAUUGUCAUCAAAAUCCUCAAUUCUAAGACAUGACAGAAUUUUACAAGCUGGCGAACUGAACAAACAAGGUUAUUUAUACGGAGAGGGAAUUAAAUAAACUAUAGACAAUUAAGAGAAAAUACAGGGAAUUUAAUAACAGUAGACAUUUAAAAUGAUUCGGAGGGGGAAAGAGGAAUGUAUAUAGGCUGAGCAAGCUAGGGAAAAUAAUAAGUAGAAAAGGAAAGCAACAUUUUAUGCAUAAACUAUGAUGGAACAAAUAAAAGUAAGCAAAUCAGUUACCAUACGGAAUAUGAAUUUCCUGAAUUCCCCUAAAAGUUAGAGAUUUUAGAUUAACAAAAUAAAAACACCAACAUUUAGCUAGAUGUUGCCUUUAGCAGUAUACCACUUAAAGAAAACAUUACCAACAACAGAAGAUUGAGGACGAGGCUACAAAGAGCAAUACAGGCACAUAACACAAACAGGGCAGAAUUUUCAAUGUACAAUGCACAAAAGAAGACGUGUCUGUCACAAAUAUUUAUGUAGUGAACUCUAAAUCAGCUACAUUGUGAGAACAAAAGCAACAAACAGAAGAAAUUUUAAUAAAGCCACUAGAAAUAUAAGGACUUAAAUAUACCUCUUAGAAAAUUUGAAAAUGAAAUAGAAACAGAAUGUACAAAUAUGUAUAGGAUUUGAAUAAUUUAACUAGUAAGUACAAUUAGAGAGUUAUUUAGAAAGUU